AAAAAAAGGGCUCUCGAAGGUGACCUGCGGAGGGAUCAUUA
rnacentral:rRNA from 1 species